CAAUAGCGUAUAUUAAAGUUGUUGCAGUUAAAAAGCUCGUAGUUGGAUUUCUGGUGGGAGCGAUCGGUCUGGCGCUUAGCGCGAGUACUUGCAUCGUCUCCGGCCAUCCUUGGGGAGAGUCUGUCUGGCAUUAAGUUGUCGGGCAGAGGAUCCUCAUCGUUUACUGUGAAAAAAUUAGAGUGUUCAAAGCAGGCUUAUGCCGUUGAAUAUAUUAGCAUGGAAUAAUAAGAUAGGACUUUGGUACUAUUUUUUUGGUUUGCGCACCAAAGUAAUGAUUAAUAGGGACAGUUGGGGGUAUUCGUAUUCCGUUGUCAGAGGUGAAAUUCUUGGAUUUACGGAAGACGAACUACUGCGAAAGCAUUUACCAAGGAUGUUUUCAUUAA
rnacentral:rRNA from 1 species